rnacentral:rRNA from 1 species
GACGGAGGAUGCAAGUGUUAUCCGGAAUCACUGGGCGUAAAGCGUCUGUAGGUGGUCAAAUAAGUCAACUGUUAAAUCUUGAGGCUCAACCUCAAAAUCGCAGUCGAAACUAUUAGACUAGAGUAUAGUAGGGGUAAAGGGAAUUUCCAGUUGGAGCGGUGAAAUGACGUAGAGAUUGGAAAGAACACCGAUGGCGAAGGCACUUUACUGGGCUAUUACUAACACUCAGAGACGAAAGCUAGGGUAGCAAAUGGGG